rnacentral:rRNA from 1 species
CAGCAGCCGCGGGAAUACGGAGGGGGCUAGCGUUAUUCGGAAGUACUGGGCGUAAAGCGCACGUAGGCGGCUUCGCAAGUCAGAGGUGAAAGCCUGGGGCUCAACUCCAGAAUUGCCUUUGAGACUGCGUCGCUCGAAUCCGGGAGAGGUGAGUGGAAUUCCGAGUGUAGAGGUGAAAUUCGUAGAUAUUCGGAAGAACACCAGUGGCGAAAGCGGCUCACUGGACCGGCAUUGACGCUGAGGUGCGAAAGCGUGGGGAGCAAAUGGGAUUAGAGACCCCUGUAGUCCCUGUCUCUUAUAC